GACGAAGGAUCCAAGCGUUAUCCGGAUUCAUUGGGUUUAAAGGGUGCGUAGGCGGAUUUGUAAGUCAGUGGUGAAAGCCGAUAGCUCAACUAUCGAACUGCCAUUGAUACUGCAGAUCUAGAAUAUAGAUGAUGUUGGCGGAAUAUGACAUGUAGCGGUGAAAUGCAUAGAUAUGUCAUAGAACACCGAUUGCGAAGGCAGCUGACAAAACUAUUAUUGACGCUGAUGCACGAAAGUGCGGGGAUCAAAC
rnacentral:rRNA from 1 species